rnacentral:sRNA from 1 species
UUGACGAGACAAAUGCGAAUGAUUUACUUUGAAGUUGUGGCGCUCGCCAGGCGCUACUUUCCAUCGCAGAGGAUGCUGUACGCGCGGUAUACCCUGCCAUGGUUAUCUCCUCAUCAAGCUAGUCACGGUCUUUGCCGCUCCCCUUGGAGCGGCUUUCUUUU